UACGAAGGGGGCUAGCGUUGUUCGGAAUUACUGGGCGUAAAGCGUGCGUAGGUGGUUCGUUAAGUCUGAUGUGAAAGCCCUGGGCUCAACCUGGGAAUGGCAUUGGAAACUGGCGACCUAGAGUGCGGUAGAGGGUAGUGGAAUUCCCGGUGUAGCAGUGAAAUGCGUAGAGAUCGGGAGGAACAUCCGUGGCGAAGGCGACUACCUGGACCAGCACUGACACUGAGGCACGAAAGCGUGGGGAGCAAACAGG
rnacentral:rRNA from 1 species